ACUCAAAGGAAUUGACGGGGGCCCGCACAAGCGGCGGAGCAUGCGGAUUAAUUCGAUGCAACGCGAAGAACCUUACCUGGAUUUGACAUAUAGGGAAAUCUCCUGGAGACAGGAGGUCCGUAAGGGCCCUAUACAGGUGGUGCAUGGCUGUCGUCAGCUCGUGUCGUGAGAUGUUGGGUUAAGUCCCGCAACGAGCGCAACCCUCGUCCUAUGUUGCCAGCAGGUAAAGCUGGGGACUCAUAGGAGACUGCCGGGGUAACUCGGAGGAAGGUGGGGAUGAGGUCAAGUCAUCAUGCCCCUUAUGUCCAGGGCUUCACGCAUGCUACAAUGGCCGGUACAAAGGGCUGCGAAACCGCAAGGUGGAGCGAAUCCCAAAAAGCCGGUCUCAGUUCGGAUUGGGGUCUGCAACUCGACCCCAUGAAGUCGGAGUCGCUAGUAAUCGCAGAUCAGCAACGCUGCGGUGAAUACGUUCCCGGGCCUUGUACACACCGCCCGU
rnacentral:rRNA from 1 species